AAAUCUUACUGUUUCGUACAAUUUUUCUACGACAACGUUAGACUAGCGGACAAAAAUUAGAAGUAGUAAUAAAAAGAAAAUUUAAAAGGAGAAAAAUAAGAAAGCUGUAAAAUGUACAAAGUCGUGUUAAUGUUGAAGAUAUAGUCGUGUUAAUGUUGAAGAUAUAGAUUCCCUUAUCCGAAUAGCUGCAUCAGUAUAUGUUGAAGGAGAAGGUUCAUACGUUUGAUUAAAAUGGUUUUCUGCAACAUUUUCUGAAAAAUCAUCAACCACGCGAUAAUGGAUACAAAUAUUGUGCAAUGCUGCGGCAACGUUCACUAUUUGGCAAACCUUCAUGGGUUCGUAAUAAAGCUCACGAGCACCCAGAAGGCAUCUGAAUCGGUUCUUAAAUACACCUAUGGUCCUUUCUAUAGUAUUUCUGGCUUUUGCAUGUAUUUUAUUGUAGUUUCCUUCGGCGCUUCCUGUUGUAGGUGAACGAAAAGGUGUCAUUAACCAUGGCUCUAGAGCAUAUCCAGCGUCUCCUGUGGAAUAAAUAAAAUCAUUUUAGCAAAAAAUUA